UACGUAGGGUGCAAGCGUUGUCCGGAAUUAUUGGGCGUAAAGCGCACGUAGGCGGCAUUGCAAGUCCCAUGUGAAAUCCCACGGCUUAACCGUGGAAGUGCAUGGGAAACUGCAGUGCUUGAGUACUUAAGAGGAUCGCGGAAUUCCCGGUGUAGAGGUGAAAUUCGUAGAUAUCGGGAGGAACACCAGUGGCGAAGGCGGCGAUCUGGGAAGAUACUGACGCUGAGGUGCGAAAGCGUGGGGAGCAAACAGGAUUAGAAACUUGUAG
rnacentral:rRNA from 1 species